rnacentral:rRNA from 1 species
ACCUCCUUUGCGCAGCAGUGGGGAAUAUUGCCCAAUGGGGGAAACCCUGAUUCCUCUCCGCCGCGUGAGCGAUGAAGUAUUUCGGUAUGUAAAGCUCUAUCAGCAGGGAAGAAAAUGACGGUACCUGACUAAGAAGCCCCGGCUAACUACGUGCCAGCAGCCGCGGGAAUACGUAGGGGGCAAGCGUUAUCCGGAUUUACUGGGUGUAAAGGGAGCGUAGACGGUCCUGCAAGCCAGAUGUGAAAGCCCGGGGCUCAACCCCGGGACUGCAUUUGGAACUGUAAGGCUAGAGUGUCGGAGAGGCG